GAUGAACGCUGGCGGCGUGCUUAACACAUGCAAGUCGAACGGACAGGCCCAAGGUUGCUUGGGUCAUCGAGUGGCGAACGGGUGAGUAUCACGUGGGUGAUCUGCCCUGCUCUUCGGGAUAAGCCUGGGAAAAUGGGUCUAAUAUAGGAUAGGAUAUCAUUUUGGGUGGUGUGCAGGAAAGUUUUUCGGUGUGGGAUGAGCUAGUAGCCUAUCAGCUUGUUGGUGGGGUAAUGGUCUACUAAGGCGCUGACGGGUAGGCGACCUGAGAGGUGGGACGGGCACAUUAGACCUGAGAUACGGCCCAGACUGCGACGGGAGGCAGCGGGGGGGAAUGUUGCACAAUGGCCGCACGCCUGAUACAGCGACGCCGCGUGGGGGAAAACGGCCUUCGAGGUGAAAACACCUUUCGCGGGAGACGAACCGCUAUUGAGGGUACCUGAAGAGAAAGCACCGGCUAACUACGUG
rnacentral:rRNA from 1 species